rnacentral:rRNA from 1 species
CUGGAUCAUUACUGACACUCAGAGGCGAAAGCUAGGGUAGCAAAAGGGAUUAGAUACCCCUGUAGUCCUAGCCGUAAACGAUGGAUACUACAUGUUGCGUUUUUAAUGCAGUAUGGUAGCUAACGCGUUAAGUAUCCCGCCUGGGGAGUACGCUCGCAAGGGUGAAACUCAAAGGAAUUGACGGGGGCCCGCACAAGCGGUGGAGCAUGUGGUUUAAUUCGAUGCAACGCGAAGAACCUUACCAAGGCUUGACAUACUACAGAUUUCUUUGAAAGAGGAAAGUGCCUUCGGGAAUGUAGAUACAGGUGGUGCAUGGCUGUCGUCAGCUCGUGUCGUGAGAUGUUGGGUUAAGUCCCGCAACGAGCGCAACCCUUAUUUUUAGUUGCUAAUUUAUUUUAGGUUUUCUAAAAAGACUGCCGGUGACAAACCGGAGGAAGGUGAGGAUGACGUCAAGUCAGCAUGCCCCUUAUGCCUUGGGCUACACACGUGCUACAAUGGUUAAGACAAAGAGUUGCGAGCUCGCGAGAGUCAGCUAAUCUCAUAAACUUAGCCUAAGUUCGGAUUGUAGGCUGCAACUCGCCUGCAUGAAGUCGGAAUCGCUAGUAAUCGCUGGUCAGCCAUACAGCGGUGAAUCCGUUCCCGGGCCUUGUACACACCGCCCGUCACACCAUGGGAGCUGGUCAUGCCCGAAACCGUUUGCUUAACCUUUUUGGAGAGCGGCGUCUAAGGUAGGGUUAGUGACUGGGGUGAAGUCGUAACAAGGUAGCCGUA